rnacentral:tRNA from 1 species
GCCUUCGUAGCUCAGUUGGUAGAGCACUCGGCUUUUAACCGAUUGGUCGUAGGUUCGAACCCUACCGAGGGUACCA